UCGAGCGGAUGAAGGGAGCUUGCUCCUGGAUUCAGCGGCGGACGGGUGAGUAAUGCCUAGGAAUCUGCCUGGUAGUGGGGGAUAACGUCCGGAAACGGGCGCUAAUACCGCAUACGUCCUGAGGGAGAAAGUGGGGGAUCUUCGGACCUCACGCUAUCAGAUGAGCCUAGGUCGGAUUAGCUAGUUGGUGGGGUAAAGGCCUACCAAGGCGACGAUCCGUAACUGGUCUGAGAGGAUGAUCAACACACUGGAACUGAGACACAGUCCAGACUCCUACGGGAGGCAGCAGUGGGGAAUAUUGGACAAUGGGCGAAAGCCUGAUCCAGCCAUGCCGCGUGUGUGAAGAAGGUCUUCGGAUUGUAAAGCACUUUAAGUUGGGAGGAAGGGCAGUAAGUUAAUACCUUGCUGUUUUGACGUUACCAACAGAAUAAGCACCGGCUAACUUCGUGCCAGCAGCCGCGGUAAUACGAAGGGUGCAAGCGUUAAUCGGAAUUACUGGGCGUAAAGCGCGCGUAGGUGGUUCAGCAAGUUGGAUGUGAAAUCCCCGGGCUCAACCUGGGAACUGCAUCCAAAACUACUGAGCUAGAGUACGGUAGAGGGUGGUGGAAUUUCCUGUGUAGCGGUGAAAUGCGUAGAUAUAGGAAGGAACACCAGUGGCGAAGGCGACCACCUGGACUGAUACUGACACUGAGGUGCGAAAGCGUGGGGAGCAAACAGGAUUAGAUACCCUGGUAGUCCACGCCGUAAACGAUGUCGACUAGCCGUUGGGAUCCUUGAGAUCUUAGUGGCGCAGCUAACGCGAUA
rnacentral:rRNA from 1 species